rnacentral:rRNA from 1 species
UACGUAGGGUGCGAGCGUUGUCCGGAAUUAUUGGGCGUAAAGGGCUCGUAGGCGGUUUGUCGCGUCGGGAGUGAAAUCCACUGGCUUAACUGGUGGCUUGCUUUCGAUACGGGCAGACUGGAGGUAUGCAGGGGAGAACGGAAUUCCUGGUGUAGCGGUGAAAUGCGCAGAUAUCAGGAGGAACACCGGUGGCGAAGGCGGGUCUCUGGGCAGUAACUGACGCUGAGGAGCGAAAGCAUGGGGAGCGAACAGG